GGCCGAGUAGCAAAGUGGUAAUGCAAUGGAUUGCAAAUCCUUCAUACGUCAGUUCGAUUCUGACCUCGGCCUC
rnacentral:tRNA from 1 species